rnacentral:rRNA from 1 species
UACGUAGGGGGCAAGCGUUGUCCGGAUUUAUUGGGCGUAAAGAGCGUGUAGGCGGUCUGGUAGGUCCGUUGUGAAAACUCGAGGCUCAACCUCGAGACGCCGAUGGAAACCAUCAGACUAGAGUCCGGAAGAGGAGAGUGGAAUUCCUGGUGUAGCGGUGAAAUGCGCAGAUAAUCAGGAAGAACACCCGUGGCUAAGGCGGCUCUCUAGUACGGUACUGACGCUGAGACGCGAAAGCGUGGGGGAGCGAACAGG